UUUCUUCUGAUAGCUUAACGUGGAUCAAAACGACUCAGGGGUCACUAGUGAUGACAACUUCCGGUUUAGAGAGGAAGUAAAUGGUUCCCAUUCUGUUACGCCUAUCCAACUGAGUGACGUUAGCAACCAUUCCAGCUCAGGCAGUGGAUACAUGUGUGACAGUGAAAGUGAAGAAGAAAAGG